ensembl:lincRNA
AGCACACACAGAGCAUGAGGGACUGCUGACUGUCCCAUCUAUGCCGACUCCCCCCCGACCUGUGCGGGGAGAGACAGGCGCAGCAUCUGCCCUUCGCCUGCUCUGUUCAGCUGAGCAGAUCGCUAUCUGUCUCCAGGCUGCCCGCGCUGCACCACCCUGUUGGAAAUGAUGAAACACUGGUGACUGACUACAGUGACAGAGGGACUUCCGGGUGGGGUUGAAGGGUGAAGUUGUUUCCACCAGGACCUCGCUGAAACAUAGGCUGGGCUCAGACCUUGCCCCUGGCACCAGAGAUGACUCCUCACCACCUGGGGUAAGGCCCCUGACAUGGCGGCCAGAGCCAGAGGGGAUCCAAAGAAGAUUUCUCUGAUACCCAGGAUAAAGGUAUCCAGGAGGAUCCUGUUGGCUACCCUAUCUGUGGUUCCUCCCAGACCUCUGUGUGCUGCCCCUCAAAAAGGCUGAACACCACUACAACCAGUGGCUGCAAAUCAGAAGCUCAGCAUGAGCUUGACAGGAGCAAUGGAGCUCUGGCAUGGCCUCGUGAUCGCAGUGGUGUCCCUCAUGCUCCAGGCCUGCCUCCUCAUUGUGACGGGUUACCUGCUCAGCCAGCGCAUAGGCCAGCAGAGUGAACGAAUGCUCAAAGAGGCCAGGCUGCAGGCCCAAGGGUCUGGCCCUGCCCACCAGCCCCUGCUGGUUGCUAAGGAGACCACGGAGACUUGGACAGAGAGAAGCACCCCCGUGUCUGUUCCCCAUUACAGGCGUGAGAGCAGUACAUCCUCAGAUAGCUCAGACAGCUCGGACAGCAAAGACAGCUCCCCUCCCAGCUGCCAGGUCACCAAGGAUGUGAAUUAUACACAAGUGGUUUUUUCGACCCCUGGAGUACGAAACAGGGAAUUUGCCCUGGACUAUGAGAACAUAAAGGAAGCCACAGAUUAUGUCAAUGUCAAUCCACAAAGCCUCAAGCCUAAUUUCUGGGCAUUUUCAAACCCUACUGUUUCUGAGCCAGUGGAAUAUACUCAAGUGGUUACAUGAAUUUUAGGUGUUUUUUUUUUUUUUUUUUAAAAAUGAAGAUGCAAUUCUCUAUUGAUUAUUAGAUUUAUUUUGUAUGGGAAUUCCUUUAAAUAAAAAAAGGUAUAGAGAAAAAAAUAGAUCUGGCCCCAGCAAGAAGACUCCAGAUCAGAUGUUAGGAAGAACUGCCAAGUAAAGUCUGGAAACACUGGCACACAGCAGCAGAGGACGUGAUGAGGUCUUUUAAAAAGUUUUAAUCAGCUGCAAUGAAGUUCUAUUUGGUGGUCUUAAGGUUACAUGACUUCUCUUUGAUUAUUUGCCAUAAAUAAUUUUCUUAAAAAUUGUAAGUAGAAUUUCAAUGACCAGUUCUUCUUUUCCUCUUGCCUAAUCCUGCAUGUUGACACUUUUAUCAGUGAUGUGUUUUGCUGAGUAAUCCUGCUUUGCCAUCACAAUUUCAAAUAAUUCACUUACGAAGCCUACCAUCAAUGAGCCUCUGAAUUUGCUGUGUUUUUUUUUAACAAGCUAAAGAAGACAAAGAGAAUCCUAGUCAAUAUCAGCUAGCAUCACAAUUGGUUAUCCCAAGGGAAAUCUUUUAAAAUUUAAUACAAUAAAAUUCAAUGUCCACUCCUGGGUUUUGUUUUAACCAAUUAUGAAUAUAAAGGUCCUUCUUGACUUGGUUAAGAAUUGUUUAUUCUCAAAUCAGCGGGUAACACGAUAUUUAAGUGUAAGAUCCUAGACAGAGUCCCAUUAAGACAGAAGUGAAGGGCUGGGGAUUUCGCUCAGUGGCAAAGCGCCUGCCUGGCAAGCGCAAGGUCAUGAGCUCGGUUCCUGGUACCGGAGAAAAACCAAAAAAAAAAAAAAAAGACAGAAGUGAAGUAAAACUGUCCACAAGCCUUAAAUUGGCUAACGUUGGCUAACAUCAAGUUCAGAAGUUAUCAGUGCAACCAAACAGCAAGCUGGGGCACAAGGAUGCACACUUAUAAUCCCAGCAGUGCAGAAGGCUGGGAUAGGAGGAUCACCCGAAUCCAAGAAUUUAAGACCAGCCUGGGCAACAUAGUGAGACUCCCAUCUCAAAAAAAAAUAUGAGUAAAUAAAUAAUCAAGAGCUAUAAUUACUGGAAAGGAGGAUAAAUUGUUCACUGCAGAUGUCCUAGCUCUAGAAAGUGACAGGGACUUCAAAAGUUUUAAAAUUGAUAAUGUGUAAUAAGUGGUGAUCAGCUAUACAUUUUUUUCUAAUAGCAAAGUAAGACAUGAAAAAAAGUUGUUCAUGAUAGCUAAGCAACCACAUCCCAAAAAGCUGAAAUCUCAGGGGAACUCCUAGCCAAAUCCAAACCUAGAUCCAUGGUAUUCAGGUCUUAGAGCUCCACAGCUGUCUCCAUCUGUAACCCUGGGGCUGUGAGCAGCUGGCUGGCCCUCCCCACACCAGUCCUCUUCCCCAGGAAGAUCUGUAGUGACAGUUCUAGUUUGGACUUCAGAAGCUGGAAAAUUCUACCAGCCUAUUUGUCCCCCAAGCUUCCAACUAUCAUGUUAUUUCUCUCCUUGAAAGUUUCACUGAACAGAAAAAAUGAUUUUACUGAUCAGAGAGGCAGAAAGAGGAAUAAACAUCACUACUAAUAAAGUUGCCCUUACAUCAAGAAAUGAAAUUCGACUUUGCAUUGAUUUCUUUUAAAAGGCUAAAAAAGAAAAUCCAAGCGUGUGUUGAAAAGGUUUGGAUAAGUUCCACAUGGGCCACCCAAGGGACUGUGUGGGAGCAAUGCCACAACAGCUGCACACAAGGAGAGAGGCCACUGGAGCAGGCAGAGACCAGCCCUGGGGACCGAGAGGAGAGUGAAUUCAUGAGAAUACUGGUCAUCAGAGAUCAUCAGGGUGGGAGUUAAGACAUCUAUAACCUAAUUGAGGGGAACAGGAAAGAACUGGAAAACAUUCACAAAACAACAGGUAACGGGGCAGAAUUAAUACCAGGAAAUGACACCAGAGCGUGUCAGGGUUAGAUCUGGGGAAAUGAUUAGGUGGACUUAAUCAGAAAACAUUCCAGAGAGGGGUUAUUUCUAACCUCGGUUUAGAAAGGAGGGUGGAAAGUCAACUGUUAGAAAAAAAAAAAGCAGAAGGAAAGCGAACAGGCCAACUACAUGUUGGCUCUCUGUAAGGCUCGAGGGGCUGUCCUGCUGCCAGAAUGAUGUGCAGAAAAGUCUUCCUGGGCUCAGAGUGUGCCACCCAUGAUGCUCAGGAGCAAGGGCUGUGUGUCAGGGAGACCAGAGGCAGCAGAAUUCCACUGGCCAUCUGAAGAUCUCUAAUUGCCCUGCUUAAAAGUACAGCAUUUAUAGUAGAUCCACCACAGAAGGCAACAUUAGCCGUCAUCAUAAUUGCUUUUCAGGAGCAGGCACUCUUGGAGAGUGAUGUUUAAA